AUACAUGCAAGAACGCCCGACCUUACGGAAGGGUUGUAUUUAUUGGAUACCAAAACCAAACCGUGCCUUCGGGUGCGGUCGCGUUUGUUGAUUCACAAUAACUGAUCGGACCGCUGCUCAGGCAGCGGUAGGUCGUUCGACAUUCUGCCCUAUCAGCUUUCGAUGGUAAUGUAGUGGAUUACCAUGGCUAUAACGGGUAACGGAGAAUCAGGGUUCGAUUCCGGAGAAGGAGCUUGAGAAUUGGCUACUAUAUCUAAGGAAGGCAGCAGGCGCGCAAAUUACCCAAUCCUGACUCAGGGAGGUAGUGACAAACCAUAACAAUACCGGCUCUUUUUGGGGCUGGUAAUUGAAAUGAAAACGAUUUAAUUUUUCUAUCGAGGAUCCAUUGGAGGGCAUGUCCGGCNNNNNNNNNNNNNNNNNNNNNNNNNNNNNNNNNNNNNNNNNNNNNNNNNNNNNNNUAACAGGCUCGUAGUUGACUGUGUACGCCGAUGCGUCGAUCUGCGGCAAAGGUCGUGCGAUCAGCCCGUCGUGGCGUCGUAAAUUAGCAACUGGGUCGCCGCUGGUCAUAAUUGGUCGGUGGCGUCUGCUCGGGUUGCUCGUUUACUGUGAGAAAACUUGGAGUGUUCAAGGGCAGGCGUGGAUUGCAACUGAACAUGUUAGCAUGGAAAUAAUAAGAUAGGGCUCCGGCUCAUAUUUUGUUGGUUUCUAGAGCGUGGGAGUAAUGAUUGAUAGGGACAGUUGGGGGUGCUAGUAUUCAGCGGCCAGAGGUAAAAUUCAUGGAUUCGCUGAAGACUGACUUAUGCGAAAGCAUUCACCAAGGAUGUCCUCUUUAAUCAAGAACGAAAGUUGGGGGAUCGAAGACGAUCAGAUACUGUCGUAGUCUCAACCAUAAACGAUGUCGACUAGGGAUUGGCGGUCGUUUUUCAUAUAAGACUCUGUCAGCACCUUCCGAGAAAUCAAAGUGUUUGGACUCUUGGGGAAGUAUGGUCGCAAGGCUGAAACUUAAAGGAAUUGACGGAAGGGCACCACCAGGAGUGGAGCCUGCGGCUUAAUUUGACUCAACACGGGGAAACUUACCAGGUCCAGAGAUGUAGAGGAUUGACAGAUUGAAGCUCUUUCUUGAUCACUUCGGUGGUGGUGCAUGGCCGUUCUUAGUUGGUGGAGUGAUUUGUCUGGUUAAUUCCGUUAACGAACGAGACCUCAGCCUGCUUUUGUAGUCGGCUGUAUACCUUCGUGGUGUACGAGUUCCAACUUCUUAGAGGGACUAUCGAUGUGCAGUCGAUGGAAGUUUGAGGCAAUAACAGGUCUGUGAUGCCCUUAGAUGUUCUGGGCCGCACGCGCGCUACAAUGCUAGGUUCAACGAA
rnacentral:rRNA from 1 species